CCUACGGGAGGCAGCAGUGAGGAAUAUUGGUCAAUGGGCUUACGCCUGAACCAGCCAAGUCGCGUGAGGGAAGACUGCCCUAUGGGUUGUAAACCUCUUUUGUCAGGGAGCAAUUGGCGCUACGUGUAGCGUUAUCGAGAGUACCUGAAGAAAAAGCAUCGGCUAACUCCGUGCCAGCAGCCGCGGUAAUACGGAGGAUGCGAGCGUUAUCCGGAUUUAUUGGGGUUAAAGGGUGCGUAGGUGGAAUGCCAAGUCAGCGGGAAAAUCGCGGGGCUCAACCUCGCUCCGCCGUUGAAACUGGCGUUCUUGAGUGGGCGAGAGGUAUGCGGAAUGCGUGGUGUAGCGGUGAAAUGCAUAGAUAUCACGCAGAACUCCGGUUGCGAAGGCAGCAUACCGGCGCCCAACUGACGCUGAAGCACGAAAGCGUGGGUAUCGAACAGGAUUAGAUACCCGUGUAGUU
rnacentral:rRNA from 1 species